AACCCAUGGUGAGGGAACCGCUUAAGAAGAUCCUUGAAUCUCUCAUGUGCCUCAAACAACGUCUCUAACUUUCCUUGUUUGGACGCUGAAAUUUUCUCCCUGAUCUU